GUGCAUCUUCAUCGGUUAAAGAUACCACCCCUGGAUGAAGGAAAAUUACUUCCAGAGAAGAUGUCACAUCUACAUAUGAGACAGAUAAGGUAAGUGAAAAUGAUACCACACUUCGGUACUUAGAAGUUUCGUGAUUACUCAAUGGCUUGGAUCUUGCAAGUCCUCAACCGAGGAGCUUCCCUCACUCGAGAACUUAGAGGAACACUAUUUGCACCAUACUUGACCAAUCUCGAAACUACUGAGCACCGGUCAACGUUAUACCGUCAAGGACCCAGAAGAGUUUCCCUGCAACCAGGAGGCCAAUCACAGCACGACACGCGUCGACAUCAGAAGCCAAUCAUAGCGCGACACGUGCAACAUCAAAAGCCAAUCACAACACGACACAUGUCAAUGUCAGAAUGAAACUAGAAACUCUCUUCUAUAAAUAAAAAUCAUUCUCUCACAAUACUGCCUAAUGCCAUUUGUAAUAAAUCAUUCACUAGUACUCACUAAAGGAGAUCUUAAACCUAUGUACUUAUGUAAACCCUUCACAAUUAAUGAGAACUCCUCUACUCUGUGGACGUAACCAAUCUGGGUGAACCACGUACAUUUUGUGUUUGCUUCCCUGUCCUUAUCCAUUUACAUACUUAUCCACACUAGUGACCGGAGCAAUCUAGUGAAGGUCACAAACUUAACACUUUCUGUUGUACCAAAGUUCUCACUAAUUUUUUGCAUCAACAAAGAUCUUAAUGAGAGGAAUAACUUUCAUACCUGUGACUAAGGCCAGUUUGGACAGGAAAAAAGUCAAUUUCACCCAAACCCUCGGAACCCUAGAUUUGGGUGUGCAUUAAUUCGACUCCUCCGAUGCUCCGCCGCCUUUAUGGUUUGUUGGGUAUGUUCCUGGGUUCAAAGAGAGUCUAAUGGUGGUAGAGAUCGACAAAAAUCGAGACCUACCCAAACCCGUCGAUGGGUUUUCUCACUACACUUGGGCUAAAAUUCAUCGGGUUUGGUUAGAAUUAGGUGAUGGGGUGUUUGGUGAGGUUUGGUGGUGAUGGAAGGUUGAAGAAGGCCGGAAAAUUGGAUAGAAAACUUCAAGGAAGUCGAGUCAUCGUGCGGGUCAAGGGGAACCCAAUUCCUUCCAUCUCAUUUUCCCUCAUUUUCCCUCCUUUCACUUCUUGGUCUUUCUUUCCUCUCCUUUAUCUUUCAUCUCCACCGCCCAAAUUUUCUUCCCUUUAAUCUGGGCCACACACGUGGCUUUCCAGAUUUUGCUCCAAAAAUCUGGAGCAUUCCAGAAAAUAAUAAAUUUACAAUUUUGCCUUCGACUUCAUUUGUUAAUUAACUCCUUCGUUAUAACUCCAAAUUACGUUCCGUUUGCACCCACGCGUUCGUAGCGACGAGUACUAUCAGGAUACCAAGAAAACAAAACUUACGUGACAUGACAAGACGGUCAACAAUAGUCAACGUCUUUGCCUCAAAGGGCAUUUCCAUAAAUUCACAUUUAAAAAUUAUAAAGACUAAUUUUUUGGGACGAGUCGUUACAGAAUGAGCCAGAUUAGUGUAACUGACUAUUUUGAAGUGAAAUUAUAUAGUGUGGUAACCAAAUUAUUAUUAUUUUUUUCUUCAUACAAAUUAAAGAUUGACAAUUUUUUUUUUCUUCGCAAAUCAAUCUAAUGGGGGAAUGAAAUUGAGAUUUUAAUAGAUUUAUAAAUAUAAGGAUUUUGAUGGAGUUUAAUCAAUCUGUAAAAAUUAAUUCCUAAUGGAAUAAACUUGGAAUGUUAUAAACUUUUUUAAAAUCCUAAUUAGAUAAACCUAGAUUUCUAAGAAUUUUAAUAAACUAUCUUAGGAAGGUGUAUUCAAUAGGUUUGAGAGAUUUUAAUGGAUUUAUAAAUCCAUGGAUUAUUAUGGAGUUUAAUUGAUUUGAGAUUCCAUUGUAAAACUUUGAUUUAGUUCCCUCAAAAUCUCAUGGGGAGAGAGAUGUGAGAUUUGUGGAUGCUUAAAAUACACUACGAAAUCUCUCUAAUUCUUUCGAAUUCCUCAACUUUUUAAUUUUUUUUAAAAUCAAUUUCUAAUUCAAUACACAUAGAAUGUUAUAAACUUCCUUAAAAUCCUAAUUGAAUACACUUGAAAAUCUAACAAUUUUAAUAAACUAUCUUAAAAUGUUGAUUAAAUAUGCUUUGAGUUUUAGAGAAUCACUUAAAAUCCGAAUCAAAUACCCCUAAAUUUAUUAAAAGAAUUAAAAUCGCUCAAAUUCCAAUUAAAUACACCCCUUAGAAUCUUGAUUGAAUACAAUUUGAAUUUAGAUAAACACUUAAAAUCUAGUCAAUUUGGAUUUCAGAGGAUUUUAAUGGAUUUUCACAGAUUUAUAUGGAUUUGUGUUAUAAAUUUUUAUGAAUUUGUGUGUACUUCAUUUGGAUUUCUUAGGAUUUCUCACCAUCACCGUCGCCAAAACAAUAUAAACAUGGUACUCAAUCAUUUUUCUUUGUUCAAUUAGAUGGGUGAUGCGAUGAAAGUUAAGCACUCAAAUUAAACCCUCUUUUGACAAUUGUAGUAUAUGU
rnacentral:lncRNA from 1 species